rnacentral:lncRNA from 1 species
AGUUUGAGCAUUCUUUGGCAUUGCCUUUCUUUGGAAUUAACUAAGGUCAAAUUGGAAGCCUUAAUUGUCCCUAGUCCAGUUGUACAAAAAUUGUAAAAUUUUGGGUGGUGGGAAACACUAAAUAUCAUUUGUAUAUGUGGCCAAGAAUGAACAACUUCUGAAUAACUAGCAAAUAAAUAAUCAGUAGCUGUAGAGGUGCUGCAAAGCAACAUUAUGAUCAAAAACACAAAUUAAGAUGCUUCCCAGGUGAUGCAGUGGUAAAGAAUCCUCUUGCCAAUGCAGAAGACAUGUGUUUGAUUCCUGGGUUGGAAUAACCCCCUGGAGGAGGAAAUGGCUACCCACUCUAGUAUUCUUGCCUGGAAAAUUCCAUGGACAGAGGAGCCUGGUGGGCUACAGUUCCUGGCUUCACAAAGAGUCGGACACGAUUGAGAAUGCAGAUACACACAUACCAACUGAGUUAUAUGAAAAUCAGUGAAAAUCUCUCCUCAUUGACUUCUACUCACUGAGGACACAGAUGAUCACUUGUAUAUGUAAGGUAAUAUUGAAAGAAGACACAGGAAAUUCUGAUAAAUCUACCUUCAAGUGGGAAAUGACAAUACUCGAUAUCCGUUCAGGACCUGAACUAAUGUUCUCUAGCCCUAGAUUAAUAAUGUGUACAAGAAAAGUGAAAAAAACCUUGCAACAAGUUUUACACUUUGCCAGAGCUUUCUGAUUAAGUUAAUUUGUCACCACAAUAUGUUAAAAGGACUUAUUCCUUGUAUUUACCUUUUGCUGGUCUUGAUCAGCCGCUGCUUCUGCAGUUGGAGAACUCAGCUCCUGUUGAAGCUGGCUAAAGCUGAAUUAGAAUGAAAUGCAUGGGGUAAUGGAAAAAGAGCAACUCUGCCCUUUCAGGUGAGCUACAGAUGUGCCCCCCCGAAACAGAGCAGGACCCUAUGGUCCUUACCCACCUUCCCCCCCAUGUCCUCUGCCUGCCUUUUGUCUGUGGAAAACUUAGUCAAAGUAUAAGUUUAAUCAGAGAAGUGAGAAAUGUGGAAACAAAGGAAAACAGUCAAAUGAGAC